rnacentral:rRNA from 1 species
GACGUAGGGCGCGAGCGUUGUCCGGAUUUAUUGGGCGUAAAGAGCUCGUAGGCGGCUUGUUGCGUCGACUGUGAAAACCCGCGGCUUAACCGCGGGCUUGCAGUUGAUACGGGCAGGCUAGAGUUCGGUAGGGGAGACUGGAAUUCCUGGUGUAGCGGUGAAAUGCGCAGAUAUCAGGAGGAACGCCGGUGGCGAAGGCGGGUCUCUGGGCCGAUACUGACGCUGAGGAGCGAAGGCGUGGGGAGCGAACAGG